UACGUAGGGGGGCGAGCGUUGUCCGGAAUCAUUGGGCGUAAAGCGCGUGUAGGCGGCCCGGUAAGUCCGCUGUGAAAGUCCAGGGCUCAACCCUGGGAUGCCGGUGGAUACUGUCGGGCUCGAGUCCGGAAGAGGCGAGUGGAAUUCCUGGUGUAGCGGUGAAAUGCGCAGAUAUCAGGAGGAACACCAAUGGCGAAGGCAACGCGCCUGGGACGUGACUGACGCUGAGACGCGAAAGCGUGGGGAGCAAACAGG
rnacentral:rRNA from 1 species